rnacentral:rRNA from 1 species
GAUGAACGCUGGCGGCGUGCUUAAUACAUGCAAGUCGAGCGGAAAGACGAGGAGCUUGCUGCUCUGACGUUAGGGGCGGACGGGUGAGUAACACGAGGAUACCCUACCUAUAAGACUGGGAUAUCUACGGAACUCCGGAGAUAACACCGGAUAAUAUAUUGAACCGCAUGGUUCAAUAGACAAAGACGGUUUUGCUGGCACUAAUAGAUGGUUCCCAGCUGCAUUAGCUAGUUGGUAAGGUAACGGCUUACCAAGGCGACGAUGCGUAGCCGACCUGAGAGGAUGAUCGGCCACACUGGAACUGAGACACGGUCCAGACUCCUACGGGAGGCAGCAGUAGGGAAUCUUCCGCAAUGGGCGAAAGCUUGACGCAGCAACGCCGCGUGAGUGAUGAAGGUCUUCGGAUCGUAAAGCUCUGUUAUUAGGUAAGAACAGAUGUGUAAUUAAAUAUGCACGUCUUGACGGUACCUGAUCAAGAAGCCCCGGCUAACUACGUG